AGCAGCCGCGGUAAUUCCAGCUCCAAUAGCGUAUAUUAAAGUUGUUGCAGUUAAAAAGCUCGUAGUUGAAUUUCGGGAUCAAUAUGUUGGUCGUGCCUUGGUACGUACUGGCAUUAUCGAUUCCUACCUUCUGAAGAACCUCGAUGUCAUUAAUUUGGUGUCUUGGGGAAUCAGGACUGUUACUUUAGAAAAAUUAGAGUGUUUAAAGCAGGCCCGCGCUUGAAUACAUUAGCAUGGAAUAAUGAAAUAGGACGUUUGAUUCUAUUUUGUUGGUUUCUAGGAUCGACGUAAUGAUUAAUAGGGAUAGUUGGGGGCAUUAGUAUUCAAUUGUCAGAGGUGAAAUUCUUGGAUUUAUUGAAGACUAACUACUGCGAAAGCAUUUGCCAAGGAUGUUUUCAUUAAUCAAGAACGAAAGUUAGGGGAUCGAAGACGAUCAGAUACCGUCGUAGUCUUAACCAUAAACUAUGCCGACUAGGGAUCGGAUGAUGUUAAUUUUUUAAUGACU
rnacentral:rRNA from 1 species